AGUGAACGCUGGCGGUAUGCCUAACACAUGCAAGUCGAACGGCAGCACAGUAAGAGCUUGCUCUUACGGGUGGCGAGUGGCGGACGGGUGAGGAAUACAUCGGAAUCUACUUUUUCGUGGGGGAUAACGUAGGGAAACUUACGCUAAUACCGCAUACGACCUACGGGUGAAAGCAGGGGAUCUUCGGACCUUGCGCGAUUGAAUGAGCCGAUGUCGGAUUAGCUAGUUGGCGGGGUAAAGGCCCACCAAGGCGACGAUCCGUAGCUGGUCUGAGAGGAUGACCAGCCACAAUGGAACUGAGACACGGUCCAGACUCCUACGGGAGGCAGCAGUGGGGAAUAUUGGACAAUGGGCGCAAGCCUGAUCCAGCCAUACCGCGUGGGUGAAGAAGGCCUUCGGGUUGUAAAGCCCUUUUGUUGGGAAAGAAAAGCAGCAGGUUAAUACGCCGCUGUUCUGACGGUACCCAAAGAAUAAGCACCGGCUAACUUCGUG
rnacentral:rRNA from 1 species